GGUUUCGUGGUGUAGUUGGUUAUCACGUCAGUCUAACACCGAGUUAGUCCACUGAAGGUCUCCGGUUCAAGUCCGGGCGAAAUCA
rnacentral:tRNA from 1 species